AACGUAGGUGGCGAGCGUUAUCCGGAAUUACUGGGCGUAAAGCGUGUGCAGGCGGGCUAGCAAGUGGUGUAUGAAAGCUCUCGGCUCAACCGGGAAGGGUUAUGCCAGACUGCUAGUCUUGAGUGCGAGAGAGGAGCGUGGAAUUCCGGGUGUAGUGGUGAAAUGCGUAGAGAUCCGGAGGAACCCCAGAGGCGAAAGCGGCGCACUGGACCACAACUGACGCUGAGGCGCGAAAGCUAGGGGAGCAAACAGG
rnacentral:rRNA from 1 species